AACGAACGCUGGCGGCAGGCCUAACACAUGCAAGUCGAGCGAGGACUUCGGUCCUAGCGGCGGACGGGUGAGUAACGCGUGGGAACGUGCCCUUUGCUUCGGAAUAGCCCUGGGAAACUGGGAGUAAUACCGGAUGAGCCCUUUGGGGGAAAGAUUUAUCGGCGAAGGAUCGGCCCGCGUUGGAUUAGGUAGUUGGUGGGGUAAUGGCCUACCAAGCCGACGAUCCAUAGCUGGUUUGAGAGGAUGAUCAGCCACACUGGGACUGAGACACGGCCCAGACCUCCGCGGGGGGGGGGGGGGGGGGAGUUUAAGAGAAGGGGGAACCCUCUAACCACGCCGGGCGGGGGGGGGAUAAAGGCCUUUGGGGUUAAAAAGCUCUUUGGGGGGGAAAGAAAAGGAGGGCCCCAGCAAAAGAACCCCGGGCUAACCCGGGC
rnacentral:rRNA from 1 species